rnacentral:lncRNA from 1 species
UUCAUUAGUGCCUAGAGGCUAAACCACAUAUAGUCAUAGACACGACACGAAUGUUCCAACUGCAGAGACAGAAGGUCGCGCUGAAACCAAGCG